GACGAACGCUGGCGGCGUGCUUAACACAUGCAAGUCGAACAGUAAGGCCCUUCGGGGUACACGAGUGGCGAACGGGUGAGUAACACGUGGGUGAUCUGCCCUGCACUUCGGGAUAAGCCUGGGAAACUGGGUCUAAUACCGGAUAGGACUCCGGACUGCAUGGUCUGGGGUGGAAAGCUUUUGCGGUGUGGGAUGGGCCCGCGGCCUAUCAGCUUGUUGGUGGGGUGAUGGCCUACCAAGGCGACAACGGGUAGCCGGCCUGAGAGGGUGACCGGCCACACUGGGACUGAGAUACGGCCCAGACUCCUACGGGAGGCAGCAGUGGGGAAUAUUGCACAAUGGGCGCAAGCCUGAUGCAGCGACGCCGCGUGAGGGAUGACGGCCUUCGGGUUGUAAACCUCUUUCAGCAUCGACGAAGCGAAAGUGACGGUAGGUGCAGAAGAAGGACCGGCCAACUACGUGCCAGCCGCCGCGGUAA
rnacentral:rRNA from 1 species